rnacentral:tRNA from 1 species
GUGCGCGUAUCUCAAUGGUAGAGUGGCGGACGUCCAGAAAACAACAACGAGAGCCGGAUGCGGGUUCGAAUCCCGCCGCGCACCCA